CCCCUCUCUUCACCUGGCCAAUUCGCAGCGUAGCUGGGGUGCAUCUUCGAGGAAAGAGCAGGCCCCCACGCCCCCACUCCCACUUUCUCCCGGAAGGACUCUCCCACUUAUUGUCUCUCCGCAGCCCCGACCCCCCUCUCUUACCUGCUGCCACCCACCCCCUCUACUCUCCUUCUCCGUCACCACAGACACACUUUUCUGACAAACAAAACGGAGUCCUCUUCUAUCUCGGCUCUUCUUUCUUUUUGCUUGUGUGUGUGUGUCUGUCUGCGUGAGCAGACCACUACUCGGUUUUCGAUUUCUCUUCCGAGCCCCCCCCAUCGCCACGCGGUGCUCAGCGACAAGGAGGCACAACAGCUGAGUCUCCCUCCUUUCACGGUCGCCUUUCCUGCGAAGCUGAACAGGCAUAUCGCCAGACGUUAGAGAGCGCGCGCCUAAUCUUAGUCCGUAAUCGCUUACACCCUCAACCUGUGACGUGGCCCAUCAUUUCACUCGGCACACUCAGGUGUGAAGCACGAGACGAGCCUUUGACCGCGUCUAAGGCACACCCGCCCCCAAAAGCACCGCAUUGCUCCUUUCCCUCUCCGGCCUCUCGCACUCGAAGGGCAGCACGAAGCAGCGGUGAGGUGCGUGCUACAGGUUCCGAGUAAGAAAUCGAGGAAGCGCCAGGCACCUCGGCAUAAGGAAGCCGUGCUGUGGUCUUCCUUGUUUGCGGGUUUUCCUCUUCCCUUUUUUUUUUUUGCGCUUUGCCAAGCGCCCUUUUCCACCUCUCGAGCGUAUCCGGGCAGCUGCACAAGAAAGAAAACUCGGCGGGACAGGCAAAACACACCCACCCACCCACGCACACUCUUCUAUAUCUGUAUACAAGUGUGGUGCCUGUGCGUUGUAGAGCGGUUCCUCUUCGUGCUUCCUUUGUUUUUGUGUAUGUGUCUCAGACGUUGCUUUUUUUUUUCAUGUUCUUCUUUGUUUUUAUCUGCUUACAGAACAAAAAAGAUACACGGCACCUCGGCUGCUGUUCCUUGGUGUAGGCGUGCCUGUGUAGUACGACACCUUGCUCCGUCUUUCCCCUCCCCCUCUGGCUUUGUGCGUGUGUUUGCUGUUUGUUUUUCUUCCUCGUGCUUGUAACUGGCCGCUGUGCGACUUUGGUGAUUUGCUUCUUGUGGGCGUCCGCGGUCUUCUUUUUGUAUGCUUCGUUUUUUUUUUCAGCUUGCGUCUGCUUUGCCUAACUCGUACUACUGGCUCCGUCCUUUCUGUUGUUGUUCUCGCCUUGUGAUCACUUCACGUGUGCACUUGUCUGCUCCGCGCGCUAGCCUGCGUUCUUCUUCCUCUACUUGGCCCUUGCUUGUGUGUGUAGCAGCUCACCCAAGCACACAGUGGGGGGGGAGGGGGCGCUUAAACUUGGACGGACGCCUUCGGAAGACUCCUGUAUGGGAAGGCCGGUGUCGUUCCAGUGUCGCAUCCCAGUAGCCGUCGCAUCUUGCUUGCCCUCUCUUCCUUCCCGCAAGUUCCGAGUCUCUUCGUAUCGGCUGUCAUGUAUGUGUGAGCGUGUCGAGGAUUCAGAUCAUUGAGAGAAGAAAAUCCGCAUCCACAGAAGCGGUGUGAGUGCGCGCGCACCGCUUCCAUCGGCCAUGUCCCUCUUGGCGUUGAAUGUGUGCCUCAUCAGCUCCUCCUUCGACGUGGUGGCGCUUCCACUGUCAUCGACGCUAUGCCCUGUCGAAGUGGAUGACGACGUCGAGGACACGUCCCUGUGCUACGGCCUCGCGCCACUCACAGAGAAGGGCCGCAAAGGGUAUGGCUAUGCGCACUGCACCGUGAUGCAGUUCUGUGCGCGUGCGCUGGACUUGAAGGCAGUUCGUGAGAUUGUGCGCGAGACAUGGUUGAAGUUCCGCAAACAUGUGUUGGAAUCGAAGGAAUCGCUGGUGCUGACCGGAGUCGCUGAUGGACCGAUCUUCGCAACAACGGAGGAUGGACGCGCCGUGCGGCUGCCAAAUAUCACGGUGGAGCGCAGUCCCAACCUAAUGUGGCUGCACGAGACCAUCGUGCGCGAGCUGGGCCAGUACCAGGUCAAGGUAGGCUCGGAGGAUGUGGCCAAGUCCGCCUUUCACAGGAAGUUCCCCGCCGAUAGCAACAGUACCACUCCAGAGUGGAUGCUGUCCUUCAUGAGCAAGUACGCUCACGAAAACUACACGCCGCAUAUUACGCUCGGCGCGUGCACCGAGAAGAACGUGGCAGCGUUCUCGUUUUUGCAAAAGACCGAGAUUCCAUGGAGAGAGUGCCGGCUCGUGGUGAGCCACAUGGGCAACUUCUGCUCCUGCUUUGAACUCCUCGAGAGCUGAGCUUGUCGCAUCGACGUUGUCGCGUUCAUCUCUCUGCUUUUUGUUUGUCUCCCUCUCUCUCUCUUCAUUUGUUCUCCCGCUGGGGUCAUGAUGGCUGUAUGCGCCCCAUCUUGUAAUCCCCCUCCUCUUCACUAUCUCUCUCUGCCUCUCGCUUCUCAUCCUAUUGAAUUUCCCUCGCGUGCCUCUUGGUUUUAGUUGUGCGUUUCUCUCUGUUCCUGCCCUACGUGUGUUUAUGUGUGUGUGCGUGUGUGCGUGCAUGGCGAGAGGGGCCGUCGUUGUUCGUGUUGCUGGUGGAUUGUCUGUAUCCUCUGUUUCGGUUGGCCCGCCCCUCCCCCUCUCUUUCUGUUGGCGCCGCGCUCUCAGCCGACCGAAAAGCCUCACCGCUUUGGCGUCGAUAUUAUUUGCUGUUACCUCCCUCUCGAUGUUGGUGUCGCUUCCCGCGCCCGUGCUUGUCGUGUGUUCAACGACUGAUGCAGGGUCGCUCACAAGUCCAUCUACCGAAUCUUUUUGAACAGUGCAGAGGGUGACGCGUCGCACGAGGCUCAUGUGCUGGUAGCAAUGGCUGGCACUACGCGGUGUCGUAGAUGGU
rnacentral:misc_RNA from 1 species